rnacentral:lncRNA from 1 species
AUGGGGUUGGGGCAAAAAUUGUGACAUCAGGGUCAAAAAAUAGAAAUGUAAUAAAUGAAAUGUUUUAUUUCUUAUAUGUUUCAUGGGACAAUCCUUCAACUAAAUCCACUUACAGGCAUUUCAUACCACCCUGCAUAUUGGAGUAAACUGAGAAAUAAGAUUUGACAAAAUACCACCGUUACAUGGACAUCAUUUAUCAUCCUUACUAAGACUAUGCUCUCCCACUGUCAAAAUAAAGGGGUUGAUCUCCAUUACUCUUGAUAAAUAUUUUGCUAACAACAUUGUUAGUCAUUUUAUUCCACACUUUUCAACAUGGCAUAUAUAUUUUGAAAGAUUUAGCAUCAAUAAAUGGAACUUGAUGCUCUGUGUGUAUACCAGUGCCAUGUUCUGUGUCGUUCUUUUUUCUCACCAGUCUAGAAAAUUGAAUUUAUGAUGGCAUGUAGAACUAAAUAGUUGAGAGAAGUCAUGCCUCAACAGAAUGGAAUAUUCUCUUUGGAAAAAGUAAACUACUCUUUCUGGCAUAACCUUCUAUUUUUGGUGUUACCACCGUUACAUGGACAUCAUGUCUCAGUAACAGAGGUAUACUUAGAAGCAAUGUUAAGUUAAUGUCCAUUAAUGGCCAUUACACACCAAAUUCCACUUCAUGCCUUAGAAUAUUUGCACAAGAUCAAUUGAUUACACUAAAGAAAAACAUUUUGCAUGUCAAAUUCUUUGCAAACAAAAGCAAAUUAAAUUAGAGUUUAAACAAGGAAAAAUGUACAAAAUUAUUGACAAAUUAUAUUUAAAAUCAUACUACGAUAAUCCUCAAGUUUCCACUUCCGUCUACCUCUGGAAACAUUUACGUUUCUGCCUAAAUGGAAAAAACAAAACAGUGCUAUCUUAUGAUCUCCAAUUCUUUUUACUUUAAAAUAACUCCUUCAAGAUAUUACUUUCAAAUGUACAUACCACCGUUACAUGGACAUCAUGUCUCAGUAACAGAGGUAUACUUUGAAGCAUUGCUAAGUUAAGGUCCAUUAAUGGCCAUUAAACACCAAAUUCCACUUCAUGCCCUAGAAUAUUUGCACAAGAUCAAUUGAUUAUACUAAAAAACAUUUUUCAUGUCAAAUUCUUUGCAAAUAAAAGCAAUUUAAAUUAGAGUUUAAACAAGGAAAAAUGUACAAAAUUAUUGAUAAAUUUAUAUUUAAAAUAAUACUAAGGUAAUCCUCAAGGUUCCACUUCCGUCUAUCUCUGGAAACAAAUGUUUCUGUCUAAAGCGGAAAAAAACAAAAGAGUGCUAGCUUAUGAUCUCCAAAUCUUUAUUACUUUAAAAUAUCUCCUUCACGGUAUUACUUUCAAAUGUACAUACCUCCGUUACAUGGACAUCAUGUCCUUGUAAUGAUCAUAUUGAAUAGUAUUACAUGUACUUGCCAUUCUUUUAGUAUCAACACACUAAUGCGAGUUAACUCAUCUUACUCAAGUGUAGAAAUACAACAUCUACAGGCAAGCUUCUAAAAUGCAUCAAUGAACAGGUUACAAGUUUAUGAACUUCAAGAUGAUCGGUGACCCAAUGACAACUGUGUGGAAGAGGACUAUGUCAAUGUCACAAAAUAGAUAGAGGUAGAAUUGUGCCUCGCCAUCAGGCCAGGAGUACAGGUCACCAGAUUGACACUUCAUGUACUGAAGAUAUACAUUUUUACCUUCAACAGAG